GCACCGAUGGUGUAUGGUACAUGCACCGAUACAAUGGGUGACUAUCGGCAUUGCGACGGCGAGCUGGGGUUUGAUUCCCCGUCGGUGCA